AACGAACGCUGGCGGUAUGCUUUACACAUGCAAGUCGAACGAACUGUUGGUAGCUUGCUAUUCAACAGUUAGUGGCAAAACGGGGUGAGUAACGCGUGGGAAUCUGCCCCUAUAGUACGGAAUAGCCGUUGGAAACGACGAUUAAUACCGUAUAUCUUCCCAGGAAGAAAGACUUGUCGCUAUAGGGAUGAGCCACGUUAGAUUAGUUUGUUGGUAGGGUAAUGGCCUACCAAGACUACGAUCUAUAGCUGGUUUGAGAGGAUGAUCAGCCACACUGGAACUGAGAUACGGUCCAGACUUCUACGGAAGGCAGCAGUGAGGAAUAUUGGACAAUGGGCGAAAGCCUGGAUCCAGCCAAUACCGCGUGAGUGAUGAAGGCUUUAGGGUUGUAAAACUCUUUCAG
rnacentral:rRNA from 1 species